AGACCCGGGCUGGCCAUCUAUGCCCGGUUUAAAAAAACUCGGAUGUAGGCCCGGUUCCCCUAAAUUCAUAGCCGCCCUCAACACCGUCACGUUCAUCACCGGAAUCUGUAAGGCACAAGCAGAGAAACAGAGCAAGCGGGAGAAAAAGCAGAGCGGACGAGCAAGAUUCCUAUUUUUAAAUGGCUGCGGCCGUUGCCUUGAGCCGCAGAGCUUUUCUUUCCCAUCUCCCUCUCCGUUUCUUCUCCUCCCUCACCGUAUCUCCAGCAAUCCUAUCCUCUCCCGCGGCUUCGUCGGCGCCGAGGCUGAAUCUCGACGACACCGAGCGGCUCUACGCGUCGGUUCCGACUGUAGACUUACUUUCGUCGCUUGGAAUGCUCUACACGAUGGCGAUGGAACCGGCGGUGGACCUGGGGAUGGCGGUGAUGCGAUCACCGGCGGUGAUGGAGAGGCGUGUGCUGCGUGAGGCUGUGGUUGGGGCGGUGCGCCGGACUGUGUAUCGGAAGUUCUGCGCUGGGGAGGAUGCGGAGGAGGCGGAGCGGACGCUUGGCCGGUUAUGGGAGAGGGGGCUGAGGGGGAUAGUUAAUUAUGGGAUGGAGGACGCAGAUGAUGGAAGUACAUGCGAUCGGAAUCUAGCUGGAUUUAUUAAGACUGUCGAGAUGAUGGCGAAGAUGCCGCCGGACUCGGUGAGCUUCGCCUGCGUGAAAAUAACAGCCAUCUGCCCCAUCCACCUCCUGGAACGCAUAAGCGACCUCCUCCGCUGGGAAAAAAAACACCCUUCCUGCCACCUCCCAUGGAAGCAAACCUCCUUCUCCAUCCUCACCAACUCCAGCCCUCUCUACCACACCCUCACCACUCCCCCACCUCUCACUCAGGAAGAAGAAGUCCAACUUCAACUCUCCUACUCCAGACUCACCACUCUCUGCAAGCGCUGUGCCGACACCAACCUCCCUCUCCUUGUCGACGCAGAGUACACGUCCGUGCAGCCUGCCAUCGACUACAUGAUCUAUUCCGCAUCGCUGGAGUUCAACGCUAAUGCCAAGAAGCAGCGACCGAUUGUUUAUGGUACCUUGCAGAGUUAUUUGAAGGAUGCAAAGGAGAGAUUGGUUCAGGCUGUGGAUGAGGCAGAGAAGGCGGGGAUUUCGAUUGGAUUUAAGUUGGUUAGAGGGGCUUAUUUGUCGAGGGAGAGUUAUUUGGCGAAGUCUUUAGGUGUGGUGUCUCCGAUUCAUUCGACUAUUCAGGAGACGCACACUUGUUAUAAUGAUUGCGCGGCUUUUUUGCUCGAGAGGAUGGUGAAGGGAUCGGCUUCGGUUGUUCUCGCCACCCACAAUCUUGAAACAGGUGAGCUUCAUUAGCGUGAAAAUAACAGCCAUGUGCCCCAUCCACCUCCUAGAACGCAUAAGCGACCUCCUCCGCUGGGAAAAGAAACACCCUUUCUGCCACCUCUCAUGGAAGCAAACCUCCUUCUCCAUCCUCACCAACUUGAGCCCUCUCUACCACACCCUCACUACUCCCCCACCUCUCACUUAGGAAGAAGAACUCCAACUUCAACUCUCCCACUCCAGACUCGCCACUCUUUGCAAGCGCUGCGCCGACACCAACCUCCCUCUCCUGAUCGCUGCAGAGUACACGUCCGUGCAACCUGCCAUAGACUACAUGAUAUAUUCCGCAUCGCUGGAGUUCAACGCUAAUGCAAAGAAGCAGCGACCGAUUGUUUAUAAUACCUUGCUGAGUUAUUUGAAGGAUGGAAAGGAGAGAUUGGUUCAGGUUGUGGAUGCGGCAGAGCGGGCGGGGAUUUCGAUCGGAUUUAAGCUGGUGAGAGGGGCUUAUUUAUCGAGGGAGAGUUAUUUGGCGAAGUCUUUAGGCGUGGCGUCUCCGAUUCAUUCGACUAUUCAGGAGACGCACGCUUGUUAUAAUGAUUGUGCUGCUUUUUUGCUCGAGAGGAUGGUGAAGGGAUCGGCUUCGGUUGUUCUCGCCACCCACAAUCUUGAAUCAGGAAGGAACUUAAAAGAAGGCUAAAGGCUGCUGUUAUGGGGAAGUAGUUAUUGCAAUGAAGCCCAAGGCUGUUGGUUUAGGUGGAUAUCUGCUGUCUUUCUGCUUGUAAAUGAAGGGGAAUGAGGUAUGUGUUGGUGGAAGAUCAUGAUGUUUGUAUUGUUAUUGACACUAUCGAUCUGCUGUCAAAAUAACAGUAAUGUGACAAUAAAUUGUGCUCAAUUAUUAGCAUAUCUAGUUAAAAUUUUGAAGUAGUUGUUAGAAAAUAA